GUGGUUUAUUUUCUCUUAAAUCUAGAAUUAGAAUGGCCAAGAGACAUGUGCAAUCAAACAAAGCAUCAUUGUAAAUAUCUAAAAUGAAAAAAGUACAAAAAUAUGUAAACAAUAAUUGGCCUAGAAAACGAAACACAAUUAUCGGUGAAACAAACAGAAAAACAUAGAAAAAGGUCCACGCAAAGGGCCUUUUUCUUUCCGUCGUUUUUCCUAGGGCCCGGUGAAUUCCGACAGGCCAGAAGUUCAACGAGUCGGCCCCGAGAAGAUCCGAGGCCAAGCCAACCACAAUCGCCAUCUUGUUCGUCCGGCGUGUGGAAAUAGGCGUCGCUCCUCGUGGCGUGAAUCCAAAUUAGCCAACAGCGGCCAAGGGGCAAACCAUACCGACCAUCGUCGGCAAUUUUCCUGAAUCAUCCAGUCAACCCGUUGACAAAUGCUGGCAACUGAUCCGCAUCAACAGACCGACCUUCCGACCAUCGCAAGAUGCAGCAUCGAAUUCGUAAUUAAACCCUCGUUGGCGACUGCCAUCUUGACACGAUGGAUUCUGUCUGGCAAUUACCGAGCAUCGCCCAUCUCACGACAUCCGCUGGCUGGUCAAUGUCGUCCGUCAACACCUACCACUUCCAAGGAUCCGGAUCUGUACCACCAAAAUGCAUGCAUGCAAUACAGCUAAGUACCCACCUCAUGUGAC